UGAUGUGUGCGUUCAACUCACAGAGUUUCAACUUUCUUUUCAUAGAGCAGUUAGGAAACACUCUGUUUGUAAAGUCUACAAGUGGAUAUUCAGACCUCUUUGAGGCCUUCGUUGGAAACGGGUUUUUUUCAUGUAAGGCUAGACAGAAGAAUUCUUAGUAACUUCCUUGUGUUGUGUGUGUUCAACUCACAGAGUUGAACGUUUCUUUAGACAGAGCAGAUUUGAAACACUGUUUUUGUGGAAUUUGCAAGUGGAGAUUUCAAGCGAUUUAAGGUCAAUGGCAGAAAAGGAAAUAUCUUCGUUUCAAAACUAGACAGAAUCAUUCCC
rnacentral:lncRNA from 10 species